GAUGAACGCUGGCGGCGUGCCUAAUACAUGUAAGUCGAACGGAGUAUGUAGCAAUAUAUACUCAGUGGCGAACGGGUGAGUAACGCGUUGGUGACCUGCCCCGAAGCGUGGGAUAACAGCUCGAAAGGGCUGCUAAUACCGCAUGAGAUCUGCGAGGUUAGAGACUUGCAGAUGAAAGGAGCAAUCCGCUUUGGGAGGGGCCUGCGUCCCAUCAGCUAGUUGGUAAGGUAAAGGCUUACCAAGGCGAAGACGGGUAGGGGGCCUGAGAGGGUGACCCCCCACACUGGAACUGAAACACGGGCCAGACACCUACGGGUGGCAGCAGUAGGGAAUAUUGCACAAUGGGCGAAAGCCUGAUGCAGCAACGCCGCGUGCGCGAAGAAGGUCUUCGGAUCGUAAAGCGCUUUUUGGGGAGAUGAGGAAGGACAGUAUCCCCAGAAUAAGGCUCGGCUAACUACGUGCCAGCAGCCGCGGUAA
rnacentral:rRNA from 1 species